GACGAACGCUGGCGGCGUGCCUAAUACAUGCAAGUUGAGCGCUGAAGGUUGGUACUUGUACCGACUGGAUGAGCAGCGAACGGGUGAGUAACGCGUGGGGAAUCUGCCUUUGAGCGGGGGACAACAUUUGGAAACGAAUGCUAAUACCGCAUAAAAACUUUAAACACAAGUUUUAAGUUUGAAAGAUGCAAUUGCAUCACUCAAAGAUGAUCCCGCGUUGUAUUAGCUAGUUGGUGAGGUAAAGGCUCACCAAGGCGAUGAUACAUAGCCGACCUGAGAGGGGGAUAGGCCACAUUGGGACUGAGACACGGCCCAAACUCCUACGGGAGGAAGCAGUAGGGAAUCUUAGGCAAUGGACGAAAGUCUGACCGAGCAACGCCGCGUGAGUGAAGAAGGUUUUCGGAUCGUAAAACUCUGUUGGUAGAGAAGAACGUUGGUGAGGGUGGAAAGCUCAUCAAGUGACGGUAACUACCCAGAAAGGGACGGCUAACUACGUG
rnacentral:rRNA from 1 species